rnacentral:pre_miRNA from 2 species
CCGGGGCCCCUUAAGGUCCGUGUUGUUGAAAAAUUACGGAACAUAAGGGCCCCUGGGA